AUGACAUUGAAGGAGCUGAUUCAAGCUGAAGGCAGAGAGCUUAACUAGAUGAUAAUUUUGUCCAGCUGACAUUCUCUACCAUUCAGUUUUCUGUGUGAGUAAACUCCAGUGCAGAAAAAACAACCAGGCAGUGUCUGAAAGAAUUUGAAUUAACUCUGGCUUAGGAAAGCAAAGCAAAAAGUUUGCCACCCUGUGAAUGAGCAUUGUUUGAUGGGAUGCACCCAGUGCUGAAUAUGACCUCAAAAGAAGAGUGGUCUAAUCUGUUAAGCUGAUGUAUCAUCUUGGACUCAUGAUAGCUGAAAACCUGCACAAUACUUCACCACAUAAUGUAUUCAUACCCUAUAGUGAUUGUGAAGUUAGAGUUGGACACAAGAUCGCAAGAAAGCAAAAGGUUCAUGUGGUUGCCAACAGGGAAACUGGGAGCAAGAGGAUUAAGGGAUACUGCAGCAGAAACCUUUCCUGAGAUCUACCUUCCUUGGCCUCAUCUGAAAUAUUUUUCCUGUUAUGCCAUUUUGCUUUGAAAAAUAAAAAGCACUGUAGCUUGAAUCAAAGAAAGUCUCUGGUGGAAAGGAAUGACAUUGGGGCUGGAUGCUUUUCUUUCACCACUCUGAGAUCAUUUGCCACACCCACCUGGGAUCAUUGCUGCUGAGUGUCUGAACAACUGGGCUCCUGCAGGAGCUGCUUGACUCACUGCAGGGCAGGCAGUGGGUGGCAGAUGAAUGCAGCUGUGGGUGCAGCACACACACCUGGCCUUGGACUGAGAUUCUACCAGAUAUCAGGAGAGAGAGAAACAGAAUUUAAAGGCUGCUGCUAGGCAAGGGGAUCUGCAUUGGGAAGCAAUCUGUGCUAGAGGGAAGAAUCAACCCUCCAGGCUGUAUUUCUCUCACAGCCAUUUUUCUUAUGUUUCUCUGUGUUCUUUUUGAUUGGUUUUGUGUUUCGUUGUUUUUUUUAACAUGGAGAAGUGAAAGGCUGAAUUUUGUAGUAUUUGGAAGACAGGAUAUGUAUCCUGGAAUGAAAGUGAAAGGUAGCACUCUCUAUUGUAGUUAAAGGGACAUGAAAUGUAGUAACCCACUGUCAUUUAAAGGAUACCACUAAGUACCCAUGGACACUUGCUACUUUCCAGGUUAAACUCCACUGCUAGUAUUUCUUACUUCUUUCUGUGAUCACUCAUAAUAAAUAAAAAAUGGGGGGAAGAAAAAAAGUUUCC
rnacentral:lncRNA from 1 species